rnacentral:rRNA from 1 species
UGGGGAAUCUUCCACAAUGGACGAAAGUCUGAUGGAGCAACGCCGCGUGAGUGAAGAAGGGUUUCGGCUCGUAAAGCUCUGUUGUCGGGGACGAAUGUGCAGUAUUUGAAUAAAGUAGUGCAAUGACGGUACCUGACGAGGAAGCCACGGCUAACUACGUGCCAGCAGCCGCGGUAAUACGUAGGUGGCAAGCGUUGUCCGGAAUUAUUGGGCGUAAAGGGAGCGCAGGCGGGAAGGUAAGUCGGUCUUAAAAGUGCGGGGCUCAACCCCGUGAUGGGAUCGAAACUAUCUUUCUUGAGUGCAGGAGAGGAAAGUGGAAUUCCUAGUGUAGCGGUGAAAUGCGUAGAUAUUAGGAGGAACACCAGUGGCGAAGGCGACUUUCUGGACUGUAACUGACGCU